UACGGAGGGGGCUAGCGUUAUUCGGAAUUAUUGGGCGUAAAGGGUGCGUAGGCGGCUUUGCAAGUGACGGGUGAAAUCCCUCGGCUUAACCGAGGAACUGCCUGUCAGACUGCAUGGCUCGAGACCAGGAGAGGUGAGUGGAAUUCCCAGUGUAGCGGUGAAAUGCGUAGAUAUUGGGAGGAACACCAGUGGCGAAGGCGGCUCACUGGACUGGUACUGACGCUGAUGCGCGAAAGCGUGGGGAGCAAACAGG
rnacentral:rRNA from 1 species